rnacentral:rRNA from 1 species
CAGUAGCCGCGGGAAAACGAAGGGUGCAAGCGUUACUCGGAAUUACUGGGCGUAAAGCGUGCGUAGGUGGUGGUUUAAGUCCGUUGUGAAAGCCCUGGGCUCAACCUGGGAAUUGCAGUGGAUACUGGGUCACUAGAGUGUGGUAGAGGAUAGUGGAAUUUCCGGUGUAGCAGUGAAAUGCGUAGAGAUCUGAAGGAACAUCUGUGGCGAAGGCGACUAUCUGGGCCAACACUGACACUGAGGCACGAAAGCGUGGGGAGCAAACAGGAUUAGAUACCCGGGUAGUCCCUGUCUCUUAUAC